rnacentral:rRNA from 1 species
GUCCGCACCGUAAACGAUGAUUACUCGCUGCUAGAUGGCAACAUUUAGUGGCUUAGCGAAAGCGAUAAGUAAUCCACCUGGGGAGUACGCCGGCAACGGUGAAACUCAAAGGAAUUGACGGGGCCCGCACAAGCGGAGGAGCAUGUGGUUUAAUUCGAUGAUACGCGAGGAACCUUACCAGGGCUUGAAAGUUAGGGAAUGACUCUGAAAGGAGUCAGUCAGCAAUGACCCGAAACUAGGUGCUGCAUGGCUGUCGU